rnacentral:rRNA from 1 species
UGGGGAAUAUUGGACAAUGGGCGCAAGCCUGAUCCAGCCAUGCCGCGUGAGUGAUGAAGGCCCUAGGGUUGUAAAGCUCUUUCACCGGUGAAGAUAAUGACGGUAACCGGAGAAGAAGCCCCGGCUAACUUCGUGCCAGCAGCCGCGGUAAUACGAAGGGGGCUAGCGUUGUUCGGAUUUACUGGGCGUAAAGCGCACGUAGGCGGACUUUUAAGUCAGGGGUGAAAUCCCGGGGCUCAACCCCGGAACUGCCUUUGAUACUGGAAGUCUUGAGUAUGGUAGAGGUGAGUGGAAUUCCGAGUGUAGAGGUGAAAUUCGUAGAUAUUCGGAGUAACACCAGUGGCGAAGGCGGCUCACUGGACCAUUACUGACGCUGAGGUGCGAAAGCGUGGGGAGCAAACAGG